CCUUAAGCGUCUCAACUUGAAUAAAACAUCAGGAAUUCUUGGUGCUUCAUUUGGGAGGUAUAAAGUGUGUAAACACUUCAACUUGCCAAUAGAUCAUGACAAGAUGAUGCUUCUUGGACAUUGCAACUUCAAAUUCCUCAAAUGAUAUAGAUUACCAAUCACACUUGACACAAGUCAGUUAAACAUGUUCUUUCUCCCAAGAUUCAACACCGUUAAGAAUUUGAAAUCAUUGCAUUUUGAAACGUGCAAUUCUAUCAAUUUUCGUUUUGAAGGAACAAAAGAGAACAUAAAUUUGAAUGUUUUCCCUUCAAAGAAACAUACCUUUUGCUAGGAAGAAUAGCAAUUCUUCGUGCCAUAGAUGGUGUCAAGGUCACAUGAAGAGUAUUACCAUCGUUUUUGAUUAAUGAUGGCUGAAUAAUUUCUAAGAAAUUCUCCUCUCGAGCUUUUAGCACGCACAAGUCCCUCAAGAGAUCAUGUAUGUGACAUGUUUUCACACCUGUUCCUAUAUGGUCCCUCUUGCCAUAUUGAACCAAACAUUUAUUUAUUAGCUUUUCUAGGAAUUGUUAAGCUACAUCCUCCAUCAACAUUCCCCCACAUUCCCAUGAUGGUGAAAUGAAACUUUCUGCAAUCCAUAAUCGAAUGAGUUCCUUUUUUAAGAUCUCCCAAUCUUCUAGAUAAUGGUCAAGAUAUAGGAAGCAUGGUUUUGAAUGAAAAGGCAACUCAUUGUAGCUUAAAGUCAAAAUCCCAUUCACUCCACCAUAAUGAUGUUCUUGUUGUUGAAACUCGUUUAAGUGUGCAUUGAUAUUUUGAUUACAAAUCUCCCAUUGAGCUUGUGACCUUUUUGUUGCUAGCAAGCCUCCCAACAUAAUAAUUGCCAAAGGUAGACCUCCACUUUUUUCACCAUCUCUCUUCCUAGCAACUCCAAUUCUUUUGCGCAAGCAUGAAACUUUGUCUUCUUUCUUGGGAAUGGUUUCAUUCUAAAAAGCUUCCAACUCUCAACAUCUGUAAGAAAUUGAAGCUCUAUUGAAAAGUUGCAAGGAUUGACAUGUAACGCCACUUUCUUGUGGUACGUUGUGAAUAAAAUUUUCCUUCUUUUUUUUCCUUGUGGAAAAGCAUGUUUAAGACUAUUCCAAUGCUCUUUUCUCCCCAUAUCAUUAAGGAUCACCAAGUAUCGUUUUUCUUUUAAAAAACCAUAAACCUUUUCCAUCCACUCAUUCUCUUCCAGUUUAUCAAUUAACUCCCUUUCUUCUUUAGAAGGAGAGAGAAGUUUUAUGCGGAGACCAUGCAAAACUUCUCUUAGCAUACAUUGUCGAGAUAUAAAAGCCCAAGCAAAACAAUCAAAAAGUCAUUUCACAUCAAUAUGCUUAUAUACUGUUUUUUUGUAAAAGUGGUCUCACCAAUGCCCCCCAUGCCGACUACCAAAACAACAACAUGAAGUCUAUCUUCUUCAGUCAUCAGGCUGAGCCAAAACUAACAACUCUAUUUCAUAGAGUUAUCUCAUCAGUUUCAGGUGCCAAAAUGAUCACAGUUCUUGAGUUUUUCUAGUAUAAAUUAGUUAUUGUAGUUACUUUUCUUUGAAUUUUACAUAAGCAUGUCAAUUUAAUUUAACUUCUGUCAAUUUAAUCAAUUAGGGAUUAAAAUGUUAAAUUGAGUUGCUAUUGAAUUAGCACUUGCUUAGUAGGAGUAUGAAUGAAGAAAGAAUGUGCAAAGGAUGAUAAGUGCAGAAGUGGAUUGCAUCUACUUUAGUAGUCUAAGCUAAGGGAAAGACCUUCAACAUUCAUGUUGAUUAUGUCGACUAGUUUCAAUCUAAGCGAGGCUAAAAUUCACAAGCAAAAUGGCUUAAUGUAGCAGGAUGAAGCAUUGAAACAAGGAACAAUAGUAGAAAACAACAAGCACAGCGCUGCAGCGUCUCACUCUCAGCACUGCAGUGUUGCCUAGUACCAUUCUUACAAGGUAGUAGCAUCAGUGCUGCAGCCCCAAGUCUGUAGCACUGCAGCGCUGUCCUUAGCAGCACAAACCCUCCACCAGGCAAUAAGCUUGGCGCUGCAGCGCCAAACUCUCAACACUGUAGUGCUGUCCAGUGAAUCAACAUUGCCUUUGGCAGUGAACUUGGUGCUGCAGCGCCAGAAACUCAACGCUGCAGCGCCAACUUAAAUGAAGAAGUCUGGACCCUUCGAUCUUUCAGAUCAGAGGUAGAGUGCUAUAAAAAGAGGCCUUUUCAGGGCUAAAAAGGGAGAUCGGGGAGAGUAGCUUUUCAGAAAAAUAGAAAAAAGUGAGGGAUUUGGUCUACACAAAAGAGGAAAAGGGAGAAGAGCAGUGAAGGAUUUUCUUGGGAGUUGAAUCAUCCACAUCAGCUUACCUUUCUCAAACUAGUUUCAUCUCUCUUUGUUAUUGUAGAAAUGAACAUUUUUCCUGAGCAUAUUGAGUUUUGUAUUAAAUAUGUUGAACUAGAAUUUUUAAUUUAAAAUUAUGAUGGAUUUCAAUAUGUAGCUUGGCUAUUGUGUUGGUUUAUUGCUUAUUUUUUUUAUGAAAAUAUUGAUAUUUACUCAAAUUGGAGUUUAUUGCCCAUUUAUUUGCUUGAUCACUAUUUAAAUGCAUCUAGGUAUUUAGAUGACACUUGAGAGACUUAGUCUAAAUUAGACCUUGAUUUGGGUAAUGUGUUCAAUACACUUAGAAAGGAAUUUUAAUAUUUUGAUUUGCAAUUAGAGUAGACAUAUAUUUAAUUGCCACAUAUAGUCAAUUUUUAGAACAUUUACUUAAAGAACUUAAUUUAAUUGUUUCCUAUAAACAUAUACUCAUUCAAUUAAGUUAAGCAAUUGUGUAAUAUUUUUACAGAGAAUUACACAUACUUUAAGAUUCUAGACUAACAUCAAUUUUCUUUAAAAUUAAAUAAUUAAGCAAACACAAUUUCAAGUGAAAUAUUAAAGGAUACCAUAAUCGUAGACUAUUAGAGCAUUACUUCCACCUUAAUUUGUUAUUUGCACUCCUUAGAUUAUACUUAGUUAAUUAGAUUACUUUUUAAUCAUUGCUCAAAAUUUGGUACUUGGAUAAAAUUAGUUUAUUUUAAUUUUAAUAAUUAGUAACAACAAUUAAAUCAACUCAUCGAGGGAUCGACAAACUCAAUUUAUUACUAUAUUACUUGUUGUGAUUGUGUGUACUUGCAUGAAAUCUUUUCUUGUAUUUUGCAUUUAAUUUUGAGCAUAUCUGAUAUCACACAAGCAAAAAAAAAGAUUUACACAACAAAAACAUCAUUUGUGAUACCCUCCAAGCUAACAACGUCCUCUACCUUAACAUGUGUUUAUGUUCUUAACCAUUGCUGCAUUUAGCAAAUAGAGCUAGACCCCUCUCCUCCAGAUAUUUGAUCAUAAGCUGGAAGACCCUUAGAAAGGCCAUCAAGCUUAGUCUGGAUUGCUUUGACCUUCAGCUGAUUUUGUUCAGAUGAUUUUUCUUAUAUUUUUAUCAAAUUGGAAGUGAGAAUUGAAUCCCAUAUUAGAAAGAAAUUAGAUAACGGAAAACUGUUAUUCAAAUAGAAAAAAACGAUGAAUUUAAGUAUUUGGUUUAAUGAUAAAUAAUGAGUCUAUUAAAAAAAAUUCUCUUUUAACAAAUCCUAACGAUAUUGAGACCAAAAAACUCAAUGGUGCUACCAUGGGUAUAUGUAAAAAAAAUAUUUUUUUAAAGUAUAUUUAUUAGUCUCGAGAAUCAGUGUGUUAUCCGAAGUCUCUUACUUAAUUGGUUGAAGACUUUUCAUGGUACAAGAACUAGGUUUGGGCAAAGGAAACUUAUACAAUUACAAAAAAUAAUUUCCAUGACCUAACAAUGGUGUUGUUAACUUUGUAUAUAUGCAAUUAAAAUUUUUUUUAUAAAAACUGGUCUAAUUGACUCUUGGCAUUCAAAACUUUCUAUGCAAUUACUAGUUGAUUAUUAGUUAAUGAAUUUCCCUUUUGUCUAUUUUUGGUUGAUUUUUAGUUAUAAAAUACCCUUUGAAAACAAUUGUAUUGACAAGUGUGCAAUUUAAAUUUGCUUUUUGGGUUAGAAGGUAGAAUUUGAUCAUAUAAGUCUUAAGUCAACUACGUACAAUCUUUCCAAGCUACAAGUUGUAACGUAUUCUUUGGGUUAAAAAUUUUCAUUGGUUUUCUUUCAGCUUUAAAAUGUCAAUUCAUAAUCGAAUCAAACUUUGUUUUUAAUUUUCUUUUAUUAUAAGAAAUUGGGAUGUUAGAAACGGAUUGAAUCAUCUAACUAAACAUGAGCUCAAAGAUUUGUCCCAAAUAAAUCACAUACAUAUCUAGAUCUUUGUUGACAUAAGGAGGUUUACCCAAAAGAAUUGCUUGCAACUACUCCAUCUAGAAAUGAUCAUAAUCCAGAGAAUCUUGCGCUAGAUGCUUGGUUUUCAAUUUUGACCAUGUCAAUUGACAAAUUGGAUGUCCCUUAUCUUGGGUUUUUCUAUUUUUUUUUAUGGUUAAAUUCAUAUCUUGGGUCAUUAACCAUAAUAUAAUUUGUCAAUUGUCAUGGAAAAGAAAUUGAAAUUGUGAUUUUUCCUACAUUUUUAUCAAAUUGGAAGUGGAAAUUAAAACCCAUAUUAGAAAGAAAGAUCAUAAUGGAGAGUUGUUCAAAUAGAAAAAAAAAGUAUUUCUUAAUUAAAAAUUGAAAGACUUGCCUAUAUAAUGAAUCUUAGAUAGGUACAGUAAACAAAAUUAAUGCUAUGAAUAAUGUUCAAUGUAAAAUAAAUAAAAUUGAUUGAUAGUUUACUGUUACUGUUAUGAAUUUUAAUGCAUUUUAAAAAAUAAAUUAUUUAAUAUAAUAAACUUAAAGAGUGUCUUAAAGUAGUAAUUACCAAAACCUAACAAUGAUUGAAUGCAUAGUUAUUUAUAUAUACUUAGCAAAUAUUUAUGAUUCCCUUGUCACAUUGAAUAACUCAAUUUUCUUCCAUCCUUUUCAAUUUCUUUGGAUUUACUUUAAUUGCAGCACAAUUAAGCAAAAACCCAAAGCUUCAAUAACACAAAACAAUGUGCAACUAUACACAAGUUGUCCCUUUGUUUAAUCUUCUGUUUUUUUUUCUUUGGAUAAGCAAAUAAUCUAGAAGUAAAAGGUUGCAAAAAUAAGAUAGAAUGAAAUAUUUUUUGUUUUUUUACCCAUAUUAUCGUUUUAUAUAUAAAUGAAAUUAUGUAUUAUCUCGUCACAAGAUAUUUAUUUAGUGUUUUUUUUAUCAAUGCAUUUUCUUUAUUUAGAGAAAAGAAAAAUCAAAUCCAAUUCUUUGAAUAAGUGUACAUACAGCUUUCAAAAAAAUACAUACAUAUUUACUAUUAAAUGAAAUAAUCAAAUAUCUCUUUUGUCAAAUAAAGAUAUGAUUAUAUAAUAUCAAAGUGCUAAAUAUUAUUGAAAAAAGACUGAUACAUUAAUUCAUCUCAAAGCUAAUACAAUAAACAAGAAAAAAAAUCUCUAAAAAGAACAAAACAUAGAAAUAAAAUUCAGAAAACAAGACUUUCAAUAGCUUUUGCCUUUAAGUACUAGCAAACAAAUGGAUAAUCUUCACUUGUGAAUAUCUAUAAUUAACUAAUAAUCGGUUCAUUCAAAUUCACAGCAAUUCAUUUAUAAAAAGCACUUGAUCAUUAGAUUCAGUUAUCAAAGAAAAAAUACAAAUUAAACUUUUGAACAAUCAAAAAGCAAAUCCAAGUGAUCCCCCUUGCUGCCUUUAUUGGCAGAGUACAUUUCUGGGCCGAUUAGAGUUACCUACAUCAAGAAGAAAAUGGCAUCAUCUCUUAUGAAAAGGAUAGACCCCAAUCAAAACCAAAAAAAAAAAAUUAUCAUAUAAAUAUCGAAGUCACCUGCAACCACUUUGAGUUGAGGAUUUGACAUUGCAAAAUUAGAGCUUUCAGUCCUUCUCUGUAUGCAUUAUUCGGAUGGAGGGUAUGUGGCACACUUUAAAGAAAUCCUCUCCUUCUCUUCCUUCUAUCACUUGAAUCCUUUCUACUAAUGACCUCUUCAUUCUCUCUAAUUUCAUUUCUUGGAGAGCAGUAAUAUACCUCAACCCUUCUGGAAAAAUCUUCAAAUUUGAAACCCAGCCCAGAAUUAAAAUCCGAAGAUGUUGCAUUGCGCCGUCUUCUAUCUGCCACUCUUCUAAUUCUGGUAGAUUCCAAAUUUGAAGAAAAUCAAGUUGAAGAAAAUCAUUCGCUGAGCAAACCAUUUUAAUCCCCGAAUAUGAGUAAGCAAAUAAGCAAAGAGUCCUCAAAUGUGGCAACUUUCCCAAUACAGCCAUUGGAUCCUGCUUUAUCUUACAACCUAUCAAAGAUAACUUGAUAAUGUUUGCUGGCAGAAAUUUCAAAAGAUGAUGGCUCGAAUGUGGAUCUUCUUGUAACUUCCCUCUUAAAAAUAGUUUUGAUAGGUGAUGGCAAUGAGAAAGGGGUUCCAUGUCUGGAUAUGGGAUUGAAUCCUCCAACCACAUGUACAAUGACCUAAGGCGUUGUGAUUCAAUCAGUGCUUUUAUGAUAGGCUCCACAUCUUUUGAUCUCUCAAAACUUAUUCCUAAACUCCGAAUAUUACUCAAGUCGAGCACUGCAUUAUUUUCAAUUAAACUCUUGCCCUUUAUGUACUUUAAAGUUUCAAUAUUUUUUAAAGUAUCCCUCAGCAACAAAGGCACAUAUGUACGUAGACCGCCUACUGCAAUAUGCCUUAAGCGUCUCAACUUGAAAAAAACAUCAGGAAUUCUUGAUGCUUGAUAUAGGAGGUAUAAAGUGUGUAAAUUCUUCAACUUGCCAAUAGACCGUGGCAAGAUGAUGGUUCCAGUAGAUCUCAACCUCAAAUACCUCAAAUGAUGUAGAUUACCAAUUUCACUUGACACAUGCCACUUGGACAACAUAUCAUUUCUCGCAAG
rnacentral:lncRNA from 1 species